AUGCAAAAAUCACACGAAAAUUGGCUCUUGAAAGGGGAUAGGAAUACUGACUACUUCCACAGAAUUGUGAAUGGGAGGAGGCGGAGAAAUACUAUUUUUUCUCUUAGUUGUGGGGAUGUGAUUAUUGAAGGAAAUAAUAAUCUCUUGGAACAUGCCACUAAUUUCUAUAAGGAACUUUUUGGUCCAGCAGUUGGAAACUUAUGUAAAAUGAAGGAAGAUAUGUGGGAAUCACGUGAGAAAUUGUCAGACAUUGACAACUUUAUCCUUACUAGACCCUUUUCUGAAACAGAAGUCAAGAAUGCACUAUUCUCUAUGAAACCAAAUAAAGCUCCUGGUCCAGAUAAUAUUCCUAUUGAGUUCUUCCAACAUUGUUGGGAGAUUGUGAAAAAUGAAGUGAUGAUGCUUUUUGACUGGUUCCAUGAUAACAAACUGGAUGUGCAGCGUCUCAAUUAUGGGAUUAUGACUCUACUGCCUAAGGUUGUGGGGGCAAACAAGAUUCAGCAAUUCAGGCCUAUUUGCUUGCUUAGAUGUAUAUACAAGCUGAUAACCAAAGUUCUGACUAUUAGGUUGGAACCUUUUGUGGAUAUUCUCUUCAGUAGACAUCAAAAUGCGUUCAUCAAGAAGCGUGACAUCAUGGAUGGGAUCAUGUCCCUGCAUGAAAUCUUGCACCACACUUACAAUAGGAAGGAAACUGGUAUUGUGUUGAAACUUGACUUCGAAAAGGCUUACGAUAAAGUCAACUGGGACUUCCUUUUGGAUUGCCACAGAAUGAGAGAAUUCCAUCCGAAAUAG
rnacentral:rRNA from 1 species